AACGAACGCUGGCGGCAGGCUUAACACAUGCAAGUCGAACGCCCCGCUAGGGGAGUGGCAGACGGGUGAGUAACGCGUGGGAAUCUACCUAGUUCUACGGAACAACAGUUGGAAACGACUGCUAAUACCGUAUACGCCCUACGGGGGAAAGAUUUAUCGGAAUUAGAUGAGCCCGCGUAAGAUUAGCUAGUUGGUGGGGUAAUGGCCUACCAAGGAGACGAUCUUUAGCUGGUCUGAGAGGAUGAUCAGCCACACUGGGACUGAGACACGGCCCAGACUCCUACGGGAGGCAGCAGUGGGGAAUAUUGGACAAUGGGCGCAAGCCUGAUCCAGCCAUGCCGCGUGAGUGAUGAAGGCCUUAGGGUUGUAAAGCUCUUUCACCGAUGAAGAUAAUGACGGUAGUCGGAGAAGAAGCCCCGGCUAACUUCGUGCCAGCCGCCGCGGUAA
rnacentral:rRNA from 1 species